GAUGAACGCUGACAGAAUGCUUAACACAUGCAAGUCAACUUGAACUUCGGUUUGGGUGGCGGACGGGUGAGUAACGCGUAAAGAACUUGCCUCACAGCUAGGGACAACAUUUGGAAACGAAUGCUAAUACCUGAUAUUAUGAUUAUAUGGCAUCGUAUAAUUAUGAAAGCUAUAUGCGCUGUGAGAGAGCUUUGCGUCCCAUUAGCUAGUUGGAGAGGUAACAGCUCACCAAGGCGAUGAUGGGUAGCCGGCCUGAGAGGGUGAUCGGCCACAAGGGGAAUGAGACACGGCCCUUACUCCUACGGGAGGCAGCAGUGGGGAAUAUUGGACAAUGGACCGAGAGGCUGAUCCAGCAAUUCUGUGUGCACGAUGAAGUUUUUCGGAAUGUAAAGUGCUUUCAGUUGGGAAGAAAAAAAUGACGGUACCAACAGAAGAAGUGACGGCUAAAUACGU
rnacentral:rRNA from 1 species